GCUAGCAGCAGAACCUAACUCACCCCUAAUCCGUUUUCAUCAAGAGGAGGUGCAGUUUUGCGACCGGAGUGGAUGGAAGGCAGCAUCACUUCAGGGCAACAACACUCCAUUGCGACUGCACAAUCCAUAAAGAAAUACUUGUACAAUGCUGUAUUUGAUGAGCGCACUGUGAUACUCUCUGACCAGUUCAUCAGCAAGAUUGUUUCAGCAGAGGCCGGGACUAUGACUUUUUCUAAAAAAGAUCAUCAGGAUGUUUCAUGAUUUUAUUAACUGGGAGCGCACUUCUCUAUGGUCCAUUUCUUCUUCAGUGGUCUCAGCCGCCUUCUGAUGCUGGAUGUCUUGCGUUAUCUCGUCUGAAUUUCUGGAGAUGCUAACAAUAUGAGACCAAUUUAGCAGAAAUUUUGAUUUACCAUUUCAAAACAACCCAGAUGUUGCUGAAGUGAGGCUUAUUAUCAGUUCGCUGGCGAGUUGUUGGAUCCGCUCAUCUGUCACAACUCUGCUUUCUUUGGUUAAAGAACCACAAGUGGAAGAAUUGUACUGCAUCCAUUGUACAUGUAGAUCCGCUCAUCUGUCAUGAUUUUGUUACUUAAAUGCUGUAUUUCGAUCCCUAUAUGUUUGUAACUGGAGUAUGUACGGUGUUUGACAUGAAGUUUUUAACCUUCUCGCAUGAA